UGCGGCAGCGCGUCGCUCGCCCGCCCGCCCCCUACCCGGUCCUGCGAGGCCUUUCCACCUAGGCACAGGCCUGGCCUUCGCGGAGCAUCACCGGCUGCAGCGAAUCCGGCUUCCUUCCCGCGACAGCCCGCAGUCAAGUGUCAGAAUGGGCAGCACAGUGACGGAUGCCAAAUAGGAGCAGUGACAGGAGAAGAAUGUUUGGAGAAUGACACCAGAGAUCCGGAAAGAUCCAUCCCUCUGGGACAGGAGCCUUACACAGAGAGAGAAGAGAAGAAUUCGGGCAAAGUUUUACGGAGGAAGAAACUAAAGCUGAGAAGGACAAAGAGACCUUCCCAAGGUCAUGCAGCUAGUAAGUGGCUGUCUCAGAACCACACCAGCCAGACUCCAGAAAUCCCGUUGCCCAGGCCCAAAGUAUCACUACUGACCAUCUCCUCCUCCCUGGAAAUCUCAAUCAACACUGUCAUGGGGUCAACCUCAGAGAGGAAAGAGUGUCCCCUGCUUCUGCUCAGUGUCCAGGAGUAUCCCGAACAGAAGGUAGGGCCCUCUGACAAUGUCAGCCACCAGACCAGGCUCCAAGAAGUGGCCAAGCUCCAAGAGGAUGGUGUGUGCUCCAAUAAAUUUGCACGGCCUUCUUGUUUAUCAGCUCUGCACUGGUAAAUGGUGCUCUGGCCCCUCAGGAGAGCCUCAGGAAGGCAUGACGUCAUGCAUGGGACGCUGAGCCUCCUGAAGCGGCCACUGAAACUCCAGCCUCCCGUGGAGUCCUGGUUUGAGGGAGACCACCAUGAGACAUGUGAACAAAGGACAGGCUCUAUGGUGCACCUGGACCUUCUGGACCCUCCACUCUGGGCUUCCAGCUGUGCCAGAUAUCCCUGAACCAGGAAUGUUGCACAGAAAGCACAGAGCCACCUGACUCUAAGGGUCCACGCCAGGCUGCUUCAGUCACCUUGACCCGGGAAUUCGGUUUCUCUUCAUAGGAUUCCAGGUGUUGCGUUCCUGGGACUCACGGCCCUCUGGAAAACCAUUCAUUGACUCGUUCUCAUUUGAGAAUAUUUCUGGAGCAUCUUCUCUGCCACAUUCUUACUCUGGAGAAAAAAAAAAAGUCACAGUUGAGUCCCUCCCCCUCUGCCCCUGUGGGCCAGCUGCUCUGACUCUUGGCAGCUGUCAGCUGUCCCUGUGCUCAGAGCCUUGUCUCCCUUUGGCCUCUCAUCCCAAGAUACUCAGCUGCAUGCCAAAGAUCUGCUCUCUGGUGAGUCCCUCUAGUAGCCAUUCUUGGUACAGGGCCCCGAACAUUCCUUCACUUGGGUCGACCUUUGGCAACAUCCUUUAUACUGUCUCAGGACCAGGCCCUGCCAUGAUCUGAAAGGUCCCAGCAGAGGUGCGUUUGGGUGGUUGAGUCAGCUGAGCUUCCAACUCUAGAUUUCUGCUCAGGUCAUGAUUUCAUGGUCGUGGGAUCGAGCCCCAAGUCAUACGCUGACAGUGUGGUGCCUACUUUGGAUUCUCUCUCUCUUUGCCCCUCCCCCCCUCAUUCUCUCUCUCCCUCCCUCUCUCUCUCUGUCUCAAAAUAAAGGAAUAAACAUUAAAAAAAAAAAAAAGUCCCAGCGGAUGGCAGAAAGAUCGCAGUGGAAAGAAGGGAAGUGUCAGACAAAACUCUAAGGAGGAGGUAGAUUUGAAGGACUGAGGUUCUCAAGAGGUAGAAACUGCAGGCGGAUAUUUUAGGUACAGGUGGCAGCUGAGCAGAGCAGAUGGACCCUCGGGACAUGCCAGGGUAGCCUGCCACCGUGUUUCUACACAUGUAAACUUCGCGUGCAUGCUAAUGUCAUACACCUGCAUGCUCACAUCUGUGUACAAGGGUUCUUCCUGAGGCUGAGCCCGAACAGCUUUAACAGGCAAGUGGUUCUGACACCAGAGGUGAGAGCUUCAAUUAGCCUUUAGGGCAGACCCUUUCUUCUCUCCUUCCUUCCUCCCUUCCUUCCUUUUUUCCUUUCUUCCUUCUUCUCUCCCUCCCUUUUUCCCUUCACCAUCAAAAAGGACCCUUGAGUCCCACGAAUGUAAGAUGACAUUAUUCUUGGGGAAAACCAUCAAGUUAUUCACUCAUAAGGGAUUGUAUAUGGAUGUGUCUGAACUUUGUCACCAAGGCUG